rnacentral:rRNA from 1 species
UAGUAAUAGUUAUGUUCUUGAAAAUUAAAAAAGUUGGCGGUAUUUUAGUCUAUUUAGAGGAACCUGUCCUAUAAUCGAUAAUCCACGAUUUGAUUUACUUAUUGUUUUAGUUUGCAUAUCGCCGUAGAUUGAAUAUUUUUAAAGAAAAUAUAAUGUUCAAAAAGUUUAUAAGAAAAAAAUUCAGGUCAAGAUGUAGCAUAUAAAUAAGAAGAGAUGGGUUACAAUAAAUUUAUUUAUAAUGAAUAAAUAAAUUUAAUUUUAUUUUGAAGGUGGAUUUAAAAGUAAU